CCCCUUUUCAUUCGCGUUAUCGCACCCUAUAUUGGGAGUGCUGCGCAAGCAGCUAUGACAAUAAACGAGCGUUGAAAUAAACCAUUCGGACCCGGGGGCGGUACCCGGCGCCUCCACCAUGAUCCGGCCUGCGGAUCCAUCAGCGGGAUCCGGCGAGCUUGAAACCAGCCGCAAGGCCGGAUGAUGAUGGGGGCGAAACAGGAUCGACGAGGGUGUAAAGAGCGGCUUUUUGUUCGGCAUUGUACCACCGUUAUCGGGCUAAACUUGUAGUUGCAAAUGACAACUAUGCGGAAGCUCGUCUCGCUGCUUAAUUGCGGUGUGACACUUCAAACUAAGUCCUAGAGGGUCGCACUUCUGGGCGGGGUUCGGAGGUACCUGGCAACAGAAACCUCCACU
rnacentral:tmRNA from 1 species